rnacentral:pre_miRNA from 1 species
CGGAAGCGGAGUCCCGCGCCUCUGAGGCCAGAGCAAAGCCUCAGAGGCGUGGGACCCCUCUGAGGCUUUGCUCUGGCCUCAGAGGCGCGGGACUCCGCUUC